AUGGAACAAUAUUGUAGGCAAGGGAAUUCGGCAAAACGGAUCCGUAACUUAGGGAAAAGGAUUUGCUCUGAGGACUGGGCUCGGGGGUCCCGGCCCCGAACCCGUCGGCUGUCGGCGGAUUGCUUGAGCUGCUCACGUGGCAAGAGCGGGUCGCCGCAUGCCGGCCGGGGUCGGACCGGGAAUCGCCCCUUCGGGGGCUUUCCCCGAGCAUGA
rnacentral:rRNA from 1 species